GUAGGGUGCGAGCGUUAAUCGGAAUUACUGGGCGUAAAGCGUGCGCAGGCGGGCUUUUAAGCCAGACGUGAAAUCCCCGGGCUUAACCUGGGAAUGGCGUUUGGGACUGGGAGUCUGGAGUGCGGCAGAGGGGACUGGAAUUCCUGGUGUAGCAGUGAAAUGCGUAGAGAUCAGGAGGAACACCGAUGGCGAAGGCAGGUCCCUGGGUUGACACUGACGCUCAAGCACGAAAGCCUGGGGAGCAAACAGGAUUAGAUACCCUGGUAGUCCACGCCCUAAACGAUGUCGACUGGUUGUUGGGGGUUUGACACUCUCAGUAACGAAGCUAACGCGUGAAGUCGACCGCCUGGGGAGUACGGCCGCAAGGUUA
rnacentral:rRNA from 1 species